rnacentral:rRNA from 1 species
GACGUAGGGUGCAAGCGUUGUCCGGAAUUAUUGGGCGUAAAGAGCUUGUAGGCGGUUUGUCGCGUCUGCUGUGAAAUUUCGGGGCUCAACCCCGAACUUGCAGUGGGUACGGGCAGACUAGAGUGUGGUAGGGGAGACUGGAAUUCCUGGUGUAGCGGUGAAAUGCGCAGAUAUCAGGAAGAACACCCGUGGCGAAGGCGGCUCUCUGGGACGGUACUGACGCUGAGACGCGAAAGCGUGGGGAGCGAACAGG